rnacentral:rRNA from 1 species
CCUACGGGUGGCUGCAGUAGGGAAUAUUGCUCAAUGGGGGAAACCCUGAAGCAGCAACGCCGCGUGGAGGAUGAAGGUUUUCGGAUUGUAAACUUCUUUUGUUAGAGAAGAUAAUGACGGUAUCUAACGAAUAAGCACCGUCAAACUCGGUGCCAGCAGGCGCGGUAAUAUGGAGGCUGCAAGGGUUAUUCGGAAUCUCUGGGCGUAAAGAGCGCGUAGGCGGGCUAGCAGGCCAGAGGUGAAAUCCUAGGGCGUACCCAGAGACCUGAAGUUGAAACGGUUAUUCUAGAGUAUGGGAGGGGUGGGUGAAUUCUUGGUGUAGGGGUAAAAUGCGUAGAGAUCAAGAGGAAUACUCAUUGCGAAGGCGACCUGCUAUAACAUAACUGACGCUGAUGCGCGAAAGCGUGGGGAGCAAACAGGAUUAGAUACCCGUGUAGUC